CCGGGGAAGGGGCGGGGGCGGCCGGGCUGGGCCUCGCCGGGCGGGGGUCGCGGGGUCCCGGCCCUGGUCGGCGCUCCGGAGAUGUCCCGGGGUGUCCCGGCGUGUCCCCGGUUGGCAGGCGGGUGGAGGGGGUGUCACGGACACCAGGCCGCGGGCACAGCUCGGUGCCCCUGACCCGCUGCGGGGCCUGUUGGUGUGAUGUAAAGCUCCCAGGAGCCGAGGGGCUCUCGGGCCUACGGGCACGUGGCAGAACAACCCCCGCCCUUACCCAGAGCCUCGGGCACAGCCCCUGCGCUCCCGAGCGGGGUCCGGCCUGGAGCAGCAAGGCUGCCGGUCGGAUCUUCCAGGCUGGAACAGACAGCUCAGAGGUUUGUAUCCCAGUUUUGUCUCCUGACAAACUGGAGACCACCAAAGCCGAGGCAGAGGCCCCCUUGGUCUUUAUUCAGAACACGAGAAAUGGGUUUAAGCGGCAGCGCUGACGAGAGCAACUGGGAUUACUCACAGUGCGGUUCAAAAAGCCAGAGGCUACAAAUAUCCCCGUGAUUCAUGCAAGAGUUUGCCAGAUGGUUUUUCAUGUUUUGGAGUCUGAGGCUUCUUCAGAAGAGAACUGGCACAAAAUAACUUGCUUUUAACAAUGCCACUUCUUAAUAACAUGUAAAGGAAGAGGAAACAUUCCAUGCUCCAUCUAUGCCAAGCAGAAGUCCAGCACUAUCCUCCCCCGCCCCAUAUGGACUGGGACAGAGUGUGAAAAAGCAAAAUUAGCAAACAAGCCAUUGCUAUAAUUGGUAACAGGAGUUUGCUCCCAUAAAAGACAACACCUUGCAGGAUGCUAAAAUGUUCUGCCAACAACUGCAUAUGCAAUGUCGAUGUUGUAUUUAAUAAUUCUCAUUCUUAGAGAAGCCAAAAGCACAUCACUUCCUCGGAUGGAGGCUGAGCUGAAUCACUGUGUGGGUUUUGCUCUGCUUGGACUCUUUGACACUUGGGGCAGUGUUAUACUCUGUUCUAAUUUGUUUCAAACCCCAUUGCUUUGCUUAAUGUCAGAUCAUCUAAUGAGAGGACCUGGAUUGCACAAGAUGGCCAAAGGCAUAUCUAUUUCAUGCAGACUAAGUACUUUUUUGAUCUAACCUUCCAAAAUACUUUGGAAAGGUUGGGCAAACCAACUUGCCACAGUUUUUUUUUCAACUAAAACACUGACACAUGAGCCUAUUUUCCAAAUCUUUCUCUUAAACAGUACAUGGGUGCAGUUUCACAGUGCCUCCAAUAAAUUUAAGUUGGAGCUUCCACCUCUUUACCGCAGACUGUGUGUCCUUGCUCCCACAUGGAUUUCAAGUCCUCCAGGUUGUGCACUUCUGCUGAGUGGAACUCUCCCCUCACCUCUCCCUUUAUGCCCUCCUUACUGGAGACCUCACCAAGCCAUGGGACCUCCUCAUCAACCUCUUCUUGGCCCUGAACAAGCUGUGCCAUAGCAAGAAGCUCAGUGGGGAACGCCGAUGCCUGCAGGGUUUGUCCAUCAUGUCCCCAGGCCAGGCACCACUGGCUGACAUCCAGGUUCAGUGAUGCUGUCAGGGAUGCUCAAAAAAAUGCUUUGUCUGUUUCAGAAGGAUGAAAUCCAGAUCAAAUUAAUAAUCUCAGCAAAGUUGUAAACAAAUUUUGGUUAAUUACAAUCUGAGGUGAAAGUAUAACCUGUCACAUUAUCAUUAGAAUAAUGAGUCCUAAAAUUAAACUUACUACAGACAGGGUGUCCUGGUGAAGAGUCAAAUAUACCUUGUUCUGUGGAGGCUUUAGAAACAUCACCAUGGGAAACCUUUUCUGCAGCUACAGUUAUGCAAAUGCCUGCUUGAAUUACAUAGGAUUUACUGAUGUAGAAGUUGCUCAGUUGUUUGUCAUAAGAAAUAUUUACAUUUAAACCAGUUCUUUGAAAGCCUCCAAACAUUCUCUUUUGGAAGCAAAGCAGAAACAUUUGCUCCUUUUAAAAAUAAAUCUGUGGUCAAUUAAUAACCCCUUGAAGAUAAGUGUGAUACUUCCAAAGGCUUCAAAACAGCAAGCUAAGACAAACCUAUGGUCAGGAGGUUGACAUUCACUAUAAGAUGUCUGAAAUGUCUUUGCAAACAUUUUAGAGGAGUCUUCAAACAAAAAUUAAAACAGCCUUUAUAUAACAGUAAGUCACGGAAUCUUUAAAACCAAAUCUGACUGAAAGGAUUCUCAUUUUCUCCCAUGUUGCAACUGCUUUGUAUUUUUCCAGUAAGAAACAUCCAGCAAUGACCUCUGUGGGAUGUGAUGAGUACAACACCACUUCCCAGACAGUGAAAUCAUUCUGUACUGAUGCUAAUUUCCAUCCUUAUCACAGAAGUCAAAAAGAAGAGAAAGGUGUGUUGAGGAGAGACCGAAGCCAAGGUCUAGAAAGUCUCUGGUUUUCACCCAUGAUUCAGCACAAGGUUGGAGAGAGUCAACAGCUUCUCACCUCAUUGCUGAUAUCAGCAAAGGGAUUGCAUAAUGUUAGCACUUCUUAUCUAAGUAGUAAAUCAGUAUCUGGAACCUUGUGAAUUGUUUAUUUAUAUUAGGAGCAGUGGCUGGUGAAAUCAGCUAUUUCUUAAAUACAACCCUGUUUCUUCACAGAGUGUACAGCUGGAAUCAAAACAACAGUAAACAACUUUGUACACAAACUUGGUCAUUUUGGAGCAAGGAUUCCCCCAGAAAAGUUGCCUGAGUUUUGUCUCGGGCCGGUAAAAUUUUAAUGUGUUCCUUUUUCCUUUUUUUUUGUUUUCAAUUGUAUUUCUGCUAUUUCUUGAUAAACGUAGAGCACAUCACUAAAAAGAAAGCAAAAGCUGAAGCGUGUUGGACCUACACUUUAACUCUGCGAUCGGGACUAAUGCACUUCUUUCCACUCCACAUCUUUUUAAACUGACUCUCUGGUUUUAAAAGAAAACACAACAAAACCAACCUAGCAGUCAGUCAUACACAUUUGGUGUCACAAAGGAUUACUGAUCUCUCCCAAGAAGUGCAUUCCAAGGAGGAAUUUCAGGCAGGGGGAACUGAAGGAUGGCUGUGAAUAAAGAGUGGCAUUUUAAGAGAAGGGGCUGCUUCCAAACAUAUGAUUUGUUUUGUUCUUUGAUGGUUUUUUUUUCAGCUAGUUCCACUCUCCCCUUAGACUUAUACAUGAAACCAGAUUCAAAUAUUAUCUGCAAAUCUGCUUAUAACAAAUGUUGUGGAAUAACAAAUUUCUAUAUUUUUACAUAAAGAAUAAAAAACUCUUAUUGCACCUCCAGCCAAAAUACUGGGCAUCUGGGGAAGGGAGCAGAGGGAAAGUAGAGACAAAGUCUGAUAGGUUUUCUGAACUGAAAUCCUGUAAUCAGUUUUGUUCCCCUGAGGUACACAAAUAUGACUUCUCACUAUGAGUCACUGUGUAGAAAAAUGAACAGCAGUUUGCAAGCACUGAACAUAUACUUGCAUUAUGUAAUUACAUAAUUGGUUUAAGCCAUAUUCCAUGCAUGAAGCAGCAACAUGUACCUGCUUGCACAUAACACCUGUAUUUUGCAAAAACAUCACCUUCCUUACCUGCUCAGAUGUGUGCUGAGUUUAGAGCUACUUUCUUUUCCAGAGGGAAUGCCUGACAGUAACAUUCUGCCUGCUGAGGCUUCAAGACACCAGAGCAAUGAGAGCACACGAAUUCUGGUUUUCUUUCCCCCCCGCUAAUUCUCUUCUCCAAGCGGUUAUCUACUGAUCUUGGGUCCAACCAGCACUCACAGGCAGUAGCACUGAGAGUGGCACAAAGCCAAAGGGGAAUGCACCUGCAGUGUUCUCUUAUUCUACCCCAUCUGAAAUGCCCCAUCUGGAGCAAAGCCUUAGAGUGUUAGAUCCCAAACAGGAUGCAGUAUAAACAAGGAAUGCCUGACUGGAGAAUAUACAUUUUAAGAAAGGAAAGCAGUAUUGACAGAGAUAUUUUUGAUCUAUACCACAAUAAAUCUAAGGAAAGACGUGGCACUCUGAAUUUAAUUUUGUUGGUGCUAACAGUUACAUGGCUUAUUAGUAGAACAAUCACUAGAUUUAAAAUGGAUUUUAGAGGGAUCUUUGAACAGUCAUUACAAAGAAGACUUUGAGUAGUUAUCACGUAAUGAAAUAUGUUCUAGUGCUGCCUAGAGACAUU